rnacentral:rRNA from 1 species
AGUGAACGCUGGCGGUAGGCCUAACACAUGCAAGUCGAACGGCAGCACAGUAAGAGCUUGCUCUUACGGGUGGCGAGUGGCGGACGGGUGAGGAAUACAUCGGAAUCUACUUUUUCGUGGGGGAGAACGUAGGGAAACUUACGCUAAUACCGCAUACGACCUAAGGGUGAAAGCAGGGGAUCUUCGGACCUUGCGCGAGUGAAUGAGCCGAUGUCGGAUUAGCUAGUUGGCGGGGUAAAGGCCCACCAAGGCGACGAUCCGUAGCUGGUCUGAGAGGAUGAUCAGCCACACUGGAACUGAGACACGGUCCAGACUCCUACGGGAGGCAGCAGUGGGGAAUAUUGGACAAUGGGCGCAAGCCUGAUCCAGCCAUACCGCGUGGGUGAAGAAGGCCUUCGGGUUGUAAAGCCCUUUUGUUGGGAAAGAAAAGCAGCAGGUUAAUACCCCGCUGUUCUGACGGUACCCAAAGAAUAAGCACCGGCUAACUUCGUG